UAUUACGUUUCUCACGGUGGAGCUCA
rnacentral:sRNA from 1 species